CAAGAACAAACAUUGGCUACAUUUUGUUGUUUGUUGGGUUUGGAUAAACUCUAAGGCAAGGAUCAUGGUUGGGUUCCUCCCAACACAAGCUGGAAAGCAUGGGGCAGAGUGGCAUUUGGUGCGGAUAAGGAACUGCAGACAGAAAGGAAAUCAACAGUCUCCUUAGGCUUGAGCAUGAGCGUCCAUGCAUCCUUGAUGUAUGCGUUUAUUGCCUGGUAUGUAUGGUAAUGCACCUAAAUGUUUGCAGCAUCAGGAUCUAUUCCGAUAGAUAGUAUACUAUAAAAAUAAUGUUGCAAAGUUAAAUAGUAAACUAGCCUGUAUGAUUUUUGCAUUCUCCUAGGAAGCAAGGAAUCCCUUGCUGCCAUAGACAAAGCAAAGUUUGGCACAAGGAUGUCAAGGCAGUUCAUAUUGCUUUGAAUAGGUUUUCAUGCUAGUGAUAUACAAAAAUGCAACCUAGUGUUGUUGUUUUAAAAGCAACCAUGUUGUUGGCCCUGGAUACCACUAGGAUGCCAGUGUAAUUAACUGGCAGAGUCAGGUAGUUAUUACUUUGGGGAGGGGGGAGCAAGCAGCUAAAAGACCAACAAUAAAACAAUUCUAAAAGACCAACAAUAAAACAAUUCUUUAAAUACAUUAAUAGCAGAAGGCUGACUAGGGAGGGGGCCGGAUCCUCUAAUGGAAAGGAAGUCAAAGGUAUGCUAAAGAAGAAUAAGGAGAUUGUGGAGAAGCUGAAUGAAUCCUUUGCAUGUGCCUUCACAACGGAAGAUAUAGCACAGAUCCCAGUGUCUGAACUAACUUUUGCAGGAAGGGAGUCUGAGCAACUGAGGGAAAUUGUGGUGACAAGAGAUGAUGUUCUCGGCCUAAUAGACAAAAUUAAAAAUCACCAAACACCAGAUCCAGAUGGCAUCCAUUCUUUAAAAACUCAAAUUUGAAAUUGCUCAUUUUCUAAUGAAAAUAUGUAAUCUGUCCUCAAGAUCAGUCUGUAUAGCUGAGAACUGGCCAAUGUAACACCAAUUAAUAAAAAGGGGAUCCAGAGGAGAUAUGGGAAAUUUAAGAGCAGCUAACUUAACAUCUCUUCUGGGAAAUCAUAGAAAGCAUUACAAAAGAUAAAAUUAUCAAGGCAUGUUCAAGAAGAACAAGUCUUGCUGAAGCAGGGCCAGCAUGGUUUCUGCAAGCGCAAGUCCUUUCUCACUGACCUAUUAAGUGUUUCUUUGAGAGUUUCAAGAAGCAUAUAGACUAGUUGCCGGAAACCACAGAAGGGUAGAGUGCUCUGGCAGUCAAAUCCUGCUUGCUCAUUUCCCACAAGUAUCUGGUUGGCUACUGUGAGAACAGGAUGAUGGACUAGAUGGGCCACUGGCUUGAUCCAGCAGGAUCGUCUUACGUUCUUAUGUUCUGUUCCUUGUUAACAAAGGGAUUAGAGAUUUUUGCUUUUCAGCCACAAUGUUUCUGUGCAAUGGCAUGAUGUGUUUGUGGGGUUUCUACUUGGGCUCAGUUCUCCAAGAAUUGACAGUGUUCCUGUUCUUGCUUCCAAAAAAUAAGGGAAUGGGCUGAUUUACAGUCCAGAGGUCUGGUAAGUGGAAAUGCAUGGGGCCUUGUCUGCUGUGAAAUAUGCCACUGCCCACAGCUUCCAUCACUCUUAUCACAAGCCUCAUAAGCUUCAUUAGUGCUGGGACACUGCUACCAUUCAUCAUUUCAACUUGUUCCUGCCACUCUCACAGAAAGGAUUAUUUUUGUCUUGAGAUGGGAUUACGAUAUAAAAUGUAAGUCUAAAUUCAAAAGGCCCAAUUAGUUGGAACAAGACUUACAGUGAAAUCCUGUGUAUGUUUACUCUGAAGAAAGUCUCAUUGCAUUUAAUGGGACUUACUCCCAGAUAAGCAUGUAUAAGACUUUCCUUAUACAUAAGUUCUGGAAGCCUUCUCCAUUGCUGCAAUUAUGUAGGCUCCACACAUCACAAGGUUGCACCUGUGUUUACCAUCCAGUUCCCAUAUACAACAUGACACAUGAGAACCUCAUAGAUGCAUGUGCGUGCAUCUUUAAAAAAUAUUAUUAUUCCAAAUGUUUGCAGGCUGUUAAGGGGGAAGAAACUUCUGCCUCUUCGGUCUCUUAUUUGUAUAAAGAAUUGCAUUGUACCAUAUUCAGACAAAUGAGCCUGCCUUUGAUUAUCCCUUGGAUAAAUGCGUUUGGUGAGUUAGCUUUUCCACAAUGGCUAUAAAUCAUAUUUUUUAAUGCUAUAAAUCUUUAAGCAACCUGUGUUUGUGUAUAUAAUUGGGAUUGGAUUCUGAGCUGCGUAUACUAGCGGUGUGGCAUCAGCUCUGUGUGUUUAUAUGAAUUACGUGAGGUGAUCCAUGUUAACAAGGCGUGUCAAGGUGGAUCAGGGAGUUCCCGAACUUCUGAGAGACUCUGCUGCCUUUUCCUUCUUUUUUGUACAUAAAGUCAAACUCUCAGCUCCCUAUCCACUGCCUUACUUUGCUUUCCCGAGAAAUGAAAUGAAGCUGACUAGGGAAAUGUCAAGCAGUCAAGAAAGAAAAAGUUGGGUCAUUUGUUUUGACAAGCAGGUCUACCUUUUAAUCACAGUGAAUUAUUCUCCCAGUGAACUCCAAUCAAAGUUAUUUAGGGGAGGGAUGCUGAAGGAAACACACAGAUCCUCCUCCUUAUAAUUUUGGCUGGGAAAGCAGAACAAAAGUUGUUGGGUUAAACUAUGGGGGUGAUCUGCUUUUCCCCCAAUCAUUCUUUUUCUCUCUCUUACAAACAGAUUCCUAGCACUUUGUUUUUUCUUCAUGGAGGGUACUUCCAGGAAGAGUGAUGAGAAAAAACCCCUAACUUUUCAGGGAUUUUUUUACUGCAAAGGUGAAAUCACUGAGCACAAUAGCCAGUGGACCUAUUUCUCCAGACUUGUGUGGCUUUGGUACCAAGGCACCAUGUAUGAAUGUUCCCUCAUGUCCCCAGUUUUCAAAAUGAUUGCCCAAAACAAUGUGAGAGAGGGAAUGUGUCUGCUCUUUUCUCGUCCUCAAAUGGUAAAAGUCUGCCCUUGCAGGGAAAUCGCUGCCACAUAUUUUUCUGAAAUUUGGCAGGCUUCAUUCCUUCAGAGAGCAUCCAAUUCUGGCAGAAAAUAGAAGAGGUUAAGUCUUUUUUUAAAAUACAAAACAAAACACCAACACAUAAAUGCCUUGAUAAAUUUGUUUGAAAUUUGGCUGGCACAAUCCACUCAGGAAGGGUUCCUUUGCAAGCAAAUGUCAACCACUUAUGUGUAAAGAGGGAAAAGUUAUAGCCUUUUUAAGAUUCCACAUUAUAGCCAACAGGGCCAAAAUAGAGUUUUGGAUUUAACCAAUCUGACUGGGACCCAAAUAACAAAUCAAAUUGGAAUGACACAGAGCAGAUUUGAAACAGAUUGGGCUGUAGAACCGCUCCAGGUAUAGGGCGGUAUAUAAAUCCAGUAAAUAAUAAUAAAUAAUAGAACACUACAGAUACAAGGCUAAUAGUGUGAUUGCUGCACACACCUAGCAUGUGCAUGCAUAUGAGACUAGUAACACCAGCAUUUCCUGCAGCAACUAUGAUUUGUGAAUAUGACCUCAGUAACGUGAAGUGUGGAGCUGCUCUUGCAAUAAAGAAAGCUGCUCAAAAGGUAUUCCAAGCAGGUUAAAACAGGUCUCGUAGCCACCGGCAAUCAUACGCAAUGCCCUAUCCUGAGUUCCUAUUAAUAUAUGUGGGAAUUCACAGAACAUUUCCCUCUGUUGUUCUUUAAACUGCCUGAGGGCUGAACAUUAUUGCAGUAGAUCUGUGGUUGGCUGUCCAGGUGCUUUUCCUUCAUUAAAGAAAAGAAGAUGCCACGUGGGGAUGGGCUGCCAAUUUGUCUGGAGCACAUAACGGUCCUGAUAAUUUUGAUAGGCUUCCCUUUAUGUGGGACAUGAUUAGAGCUCCCUGUUCUCUCCCCCCCCCUUUUUUUUAAUGAAAUGUAGUUGUAGAGCAACACUGCCAAUUUGUUGAGAGCAGCAGGUUCAAUACUUCCCCCCCUGAAGUUUUCCCACUCAAAAAUCCUCCCCCUCCGGUGGGUGUAUGAACUCAACAGUUCUUAGUUUAUCUUUUGGUUGCUAUUUUGUUGAUGUUGUUAAUACUGUUCUAUAGAUUGUAAAUGCUGUGUUGACUCGUUAAUCAUAUGGCAUGACUUUUGCUUUAAUUGUGAUUGUGACAUUCAGCUUAUUUUUUUAGUUGUUGCUUUGUUAACAGAGUUUUAUAAAUUGCAAUUGUUUCACUGAUGAUCUGUUACUCUAUAUGCUUUAUGCUGUAUUUGUGAUGUUCCAUUUUCUUAUUAUUAUUUAUUGUUUGUAAGCCACUUUGGGACUCAUUUGAAUGAAAAAGGGGCAUAGAAAUAUUAAAAAUCAGAUCAGUUAAAGCAAUCAAUGGUAAGCUACCUUAAAUCUUUUUGUGACCUGUACCAUCUUUCCCCUACAUACCAUCCUUUCAUUUCCUUACAUAGUAUCAGAUUUGCUGUCCUUUGUCUUAACUAUGCUAUUUUCCAGCAACAAAGAUCCCUGCAUGCUUGUCCCUUCCAUUAACUGCUAUAGCAAAGUCCCAUCUUUACAAAUUAGCCACCUAAGGUCGCCUAACUCCAAGGUCAAUUCUAGCCCUGACAGCAACCAACUCAUAAUAGCAUAAUGAAUAGUACUUUGUGUUUAUGCACACCCAAAAAAUGUACCGUAAUUAUAAAUACAAUGCUAUGGUGUGCAACUCUAAAACAUUCUUCUGUACUCCACACACCCCUUCAAGAGCCAAAGCUAGGGUAAUUGGUUGUCUUUUACAAGUUGCUAUCACUCCUAAGAAUAAAAUCCAUAAAAUAAUCCUAGAUGAGAUCUCCUCUAUAUAAUUCCAGGUAAUGUUUUCUGUCCUGCCAGUGACAUUUUCCUGGAUAGUGGCUGCUUUCAUGGGCAAGACCUUCUUAAAAUCAAGCACAUUCAUUAUCUAUCCUGGCAGCUGAAAGAUACAGAGCUGUACAAACCUUCCAGAAAAGCACUUCAUGCCCUCUCAUUACUUCAGGAAAACCCACUAUCAGAUAAGAUUUAAUGUGUGUGCUGAAAAAUAUUGAUUUUCAUUUAGGGCCACCUGGAUAAUAUUUUUCCUGGAUAAUAUUUUUAAUAGGUCACUGCUGAACUGAAACAUCCCCCCCCCUUUCCUUUUAAACAAAAAAGUCAGUGGACAACUGGGCAGCCUUACUGCUAUGAAAUGAAAGGAAGCCAUGUUUUGCUCCUGAAGUGCAGAACAACACAUCAGUAUACAGAAUUUGCAAGAUUUUACCUCCCUCUCCAAUCAGAGAGUAGAUUCAUACCUAUGUACGACAACCAAGUACAAAAUGCUUAUGGCCCAUGUCAGAAGUGAGGGGCACAUUAUGUAUUAGGAGGGCUUGGCACAAAUACAGGCCUAAUCUUUUCCCACUUGACAACUUGUGCUUGUUAAAGAGAGAAGUGCCAUGAAAAAAACAUAUGCAUGCAGAGCUGACCUCAAACAUUUGGCCAUCUGAGGUAAAGGACAAGAUAGUGCCAGCCAUUCUGUGUACAGAAGACAACAUGAUUGGCAGUUCAAUAUUACUUCAGUGCUGGUGACAGGAUCUUGUCCAUACAGGCUAUGGUGUUUUUUUGGGUGAGGAGGGUGCUACAUGGUGCACUCAGCUCUGAUCUCUAACAGAACAGAAUGAGUGGUGAUUCAGGAUGAAUGGCUACAGGGCUGUCCCUGGCAUAUAUUCUACCUGAGGUAAUUACCUCACUCUGCCUAAUGGUAGGGCUAGCCCUGCAUGUAUAUCCUUUGCAGCAACCUCAGCUAUGCAUGCGCCUCAUGAAAGGUUAAGGAACAGAGAACACUUCUGUUCCUUUUCAAUAGGAAUCCAGAGGACUGAAUCCAUGUUGCAGAACUUGUCUGAGCAAUGUCGAACAAAAAAAAUAAAUAAAAGCUAGCCUGCCUGCUCAAUAUAUCCACUGGUGCUGAAAACAAUUAUAUACUUCAGGCCUACUGGCUGGCUCUGAACUUAUGGCAGUCCCACAUCUCACAUGGCAAAUGCAUGUGGUGCAUACAGUAUGGGCUGUCAUCUCCCUCAGCAAACAGGUUUGUAGUACACAGCAAGGUCUUCCAGCUGUAAAACACCAAACUGACUUGGUAAUAUCUCCUGGAAAGCCAGAUAGCAUGACGGCACAGAGUCCAUGAAGAAAAGCAGGGAACCUUCAAGCAUUCUGGCCCAAUCCCUGUUAGAAUUACUCUACUGCCAUCUGCACUGGGAAAAGAUCAGAACAGUAGGCUAGACCGACCAUCAGGCUAACUGCUGCAAGGAUGCUUCUUCCUCUCACGCCUCCAAGGAAGCGUAGAUGGCAAUGAUGAAACUGACAAGUUGGGGAGGAGAUGUGGUGGAUAUUGAACAAGAGAUGGGUGUUUAGCAGCAACUGUUUGAGUUCCAGAAGCCUCCUUUGAUUUAAAACCACUAUUACAUCAAUAUUUAAAAUGCUUUGGGAUCCAUGUUUACCUGACACAGGGAAAGCAGACUGGCACCAACAAUUUUGGUUGCAGGCAGACAUUUUUCUAUUUCCUGGGGCAUCUGAACAGCACCAGUGAUAUGAUAUUGUAUGGUUAAAUCUAUUUCAAAUAAUGCUCUUGUAAUACACACGCACGCACACGCACACACACAAUCUUUGGUUGUAAAUCAGUUUUGGAACUUCUGGAGAGGGAGUGAUAUAUAAAUCGAACAAACCUAAUUUGACUGGCAGUCAACAAUUUAUAAAAUGAGAACAUCAAUCAAUCAGAAUUUGUGACAGGGUGGCUUAAAGAAAUGUCAUACUGUCCUUCACCCCAACAUGCAAAUAAUAUUAUGUUCCAUUUAUGUUCUCACUGCAGCCUGCGAACGUAACUGUUCUUUUAAAAAUGCACUCAUUUCCAGUUUCGCUUUAGCUAACACACAGUCAUCAAACAAGCCUCACACAGCCGUCAAACAAUCAUUAAAUCUCUAGUACUUACAAACAUGAGGCGUGUAGGUAUGUUGUCAGAUUCAACCAAAGGGUUUUUAUAGAGCCAGAUCUCUUCUGGCUGAAUUACUCUCUGGAAUGGAUCCAAAAAUUCUGUAAAACUAAACAAAACAAUAAAAGAACACAUUGUUUCACCAUGUACCUGGAGCAAGAGACCUCAAAAAGUAUAUCACGGGAGAUUCCCGCUUGCCAUAAUGAAAGAGAGACAUUGUUUAAUCAAGCGCAAGCAAAUACAAGGCAGAAAAUGUUUGUUUAUCUCCCUUCUUACCCUUACCCAUCUCUAGAGUCCAGGGUGAAUUCUAUAUUACAAUAUGCAAACAAAGACAUAGCAAAAUAAAACCAGACUAAGAAAACAGAAUACAUAUUAUGAGUUGUAUCCAAUGAAGCUGUUGCACUUGUGCAAUGGAACGUCCCCUCCUACCCCCAGCAACCUCUCAUUGUACACCCUCAAAAUGGGUUAUGGGAUUCUCCAGAGCAGAUUUUUACAGUUCGCCAGAAAAGUAGAAGAAGGGGAAGCCAUGUUACAUGAAUGGUACUCCACUCACUGCUUUAUAUCUCCAGUUCCUUAUACCAUACAAGCUGGAGUUUUCCUCACACCACUGUUGUCCAAAAUGAAAAGGUUUCAGCAGCAUGAAGAAAAAAACCUAAGUUACGUGGUAAACUUACAAAGCAGUGGCAGACAGUAUUUGGAGCAAUGAGUCAGAGACAAAAUGCCUGAAGUAUUUUAUUGUUGCCCAACACACUCUGGAAAAUAACAAACUUCCUCACCAGCAACCUGCAAAAAUAUAGUACUCUAGCUUCCUUCUUUGCCAAACUAUUAAGGAGGAUUGUCCCAUUGAAGAAAUCUCUUGCUUCCAAAAUUUGUGGGGCAGCAAUAUAAUAUUUUGGACCUUUUCCUCCACUUGUUUCCCCUUUGUUUGGCCUUAGAGAGUACAGUUGUGCCUCAGAAGUUGAACGGAAUCGGUUUUGGAAGUCCAUUCGACUUCCAAAACAUUUGGAAACCAAAAUGUGGCUUCCCAUUGGCUGCAGGAAGCUCCUACAGCCAAUCGGAAGCCACAAAAGCCCCAUCAGAUGUUCGGCUUACAAAAGAACGUUCGAAAACCGAACACUCACUUCUGGUUUUUGGUCGUUCGGGAGCCGGAACGUUCGACUCCCAAGGCAUUCGGGAACCAAGGUACUACUGUACUUGGAACUACCUGAAAAGCUUCCACAGGGCAACCAUAAUAUGUAAACUGACCCCCAAGAGGCACACAUCUAUCAAAGCUGCCACAAAUGGCCACACAUAGAAACACAGGAGCCUGGCUUAGGUUGAGUCAGACCACUGGUCCAUCUAGCCCAGUCAUUGUCUACAUUUACAAUGGCUCUGCAGGGUUUUAGGCAAGGCUCUGGCCAAUCUAGAGAUGCUGGCAAUGGAUUCUCUGCCACGCAGCCACAGCCCUUCACACUCAUGAAUCUCAGAUCUGCAAACCAAUGGCGUGUGCAGCAACAGUGGGUGUGGCCCAACAGACACAAUUCUUCAUUCUCUAUCCAAGCAAUCAAGAGCUAUUAUCACAGAUCAGGGACACAGUCUAGUCAGGUUAAAUAAUUAGAGGAGGCUCCUGGGCCAAAGGGGACUGUAGCCUGGAGUGGUAUAGCCUGGACUGAAUUCUAUAAAUCCCUGGAAAGCUACGUUCACCCUCUGGGGCUGAGAUUCCCCACCUGUGAUCUCUUCGUUCCUUCCCACCUCCCAGUCUUGCAUUGGAUGGGUGAAAAACCUAUUAAAAGAUGUGUUCAGAAGCGUUUUUGAGCAGGCUGGCCUGCACAGCCUGUGGCCCAGCAAGCCAACGUGACCCAAAGACUCAUUCAAAAUACUGGGUUUGCUACCUUUCUGGGAAUGCAAAAGCAAAGGGUGAGGCGUUGUCAUGCAUCUGACAUGCUCGAAUGCAUGCUGCAUUUGGCAUGCCAGCUCACCAGUUUCUUCAGGCCUGCGUUACCUUUUGUUUUAUAAAGAAAAAGUAAAUGUAGUCACAGCAACAAAAUCCACUGCAUUUAAAUACUGUCAGAUUGCUGCCUUCUACAUUUCCUCUUCUGUCUAUGUAAAAUGUUCAAAUUAUGUCUUUCAGCCAUAUGCGGGGGAGGGAGGGAACAGGCAAAUUAACCUGAUGAAAGCGAACAAUAAUCAACUAGAGUCACAACAGAAAAAGAAACUCCUGCUGAAGACUUGGCUGCAAAUCCAAAAAACAAAACAGCACCGCUCCCCCUCCUGUCAAAAGACCAGAUGUAUUUCAUGCUGUUUGUCAACACUUGUGCAUAUAUGAACUCAGUAGUACAGUGGCUCCUAAACUCUACAGACCAAUUAUUGGAGGUCUCGGCAGACCACUUUUUUGCCUCUUUUUUAGCAUUUGUAGUGCACGGUGCUAGAUACCGAAGUCAUCACUGGAGGCCUGAAUGAAGCUUGUGGGCCCCUGGUGGUCAAUGGACCUCAUUUUGGGAACCUCUGCUGUAGUGUACGAAUUAUAUUAGUGGGCCUUCUCAGUACUAUCACCUAUCCUGCAAUCCCUGCCCCCCCUCCUCAGCAAAGGGCUGUUCGGAAGGUGCAAACUUGGCUCAUAACAUACAUUGCACUCCUCUGUUUUAUUGAUGCUGUUGAUGGAUUCUUUGUUUUUACUGAUGUAUUUCUUUGUAUUUUAAACUAUAAUGUGUGUGUGCGUGCACGCCAUUUACUCUACUUUUUCUUGUCACUGGAAGGGGGAGGAGCUCUGGAAGUCCUAUAGUGAAACCCUUAGUACAACAAACACCCUCUGCCAAACACUUCACAGGGAUCGAAAGUCUAUGGCAAUAGCUAAAUCACAGUAUUAAUUAAUGAUGUAGCAACCUUGUAGAUGUGGCUGGAACUUUGGGCUUAAUCACAUCUCCAUUUGCCCAGUCACUUUUCCCCAGAAAAACCCAUCAUUUAGCACUGAAUCGGAACCAAUAGCAAUCACAUUUUCCACAAAAUUGCCUUUUGUUCUGAUUUAGUGCUAAAGGGCGGGGUUUUCCUGGGACAAGCCAAAACUGGUGGAAAUGUGAACAAGCCCUAAGCAAGAGAGAGUCAGGAGUGCAGACAGCAGUUUCCAGAAGACAUUUCCAAAGCAGCCAUCAAAUUGUGAAACCCAAAUAAUGGGUUUGGCAAAGUCAGUUGUUAUUGCAUCUGCAGGAUCAGUGAAGAGGAACAUAUCUUUGAGUAUGUGCUAAGUUGCUGAUAGUACAGUGGUACCUCGGGUUAUAUAUGCUUCAGGUUACAUACGCUUCAAGUUACAGAAAUAGUUACAGAAAUAGCUAACCCAGAAAUAGUAGCUUGGGUUAAGAACUUUGCUUCAGGAUGAGAACAGAAAUCGUGCUCCGGCAACGCAGUGGCAGCUGGAGGCCCCAUUAGCUAAAGUGGUGCUUCAGGUUAAGAACAGUUUCAGGUUAAGUACAGACCUCCGGAACGAAUUAAGUACUUAACCCGAGGUACCACUGUAUAGGUGAAUAUUUGUUGUUGGGCAGGUUUUAUUUCCUUUGCACCAGGCUCCAGUUGGUGGAUCUUGGGAUUCCAGUAAAAAAAAAAAAAAGAGUUUUCAUAAGUUUGAAGGGUCUCUUGCCUCUCCUCAUUAACACACACACACACACACACACACACACACACACACACCAGAGUUCCUUCAGGAAAGUUCAAACAAAGAUUAGUCCCAAAGACAUACCGGAAAAUAUUUCACCAGACUUUCACAAAGGAAAGCCUGGCCUUUUUUCUUUUUUUCAGUGAAAAUAGGAAGGUCUUUGUAUUUCAUCCAGAAUCUCCAAUCCAGAAUACCAUAUGUAGGCUUCCAGCUAUAUAUCAGUCAUCAGAAACAAAAUACUUACCCUGGUGUUCUUUCUUUUUGCCCUUUUCUGUACAGUUUGGCAUAGAAAUGUGUAUUUGCUGAAGGCUAUGAGCAAACAUUUCAAAUCUAAAGCUAUGAUACAGGUGCCAAUAAGCCAAUGGAACAAUAUUUGCAGACUUUUAGUGCUUUUUAAUAAGACUUUCCCAGAGAACAGAGUUUUCAGUUUUCAUGGGAAGUCAAGAUUGCCACAUUUUAUAAAAAUUGGUUUGGGUUUCUGUGCUUUUUAUUUUAUGCUUUGCUGGAGGACCCAACAUGAAAGGUUUUAGACUCAGACCAUAGUUAAGGGACAGGCUUGGCUAAGUUUGUUAGAUGAACCAGUGAGGACAGAUAUCUGAUUUCUUCCGUAUAAUUGAUGUUUCAAUUAUUUAACAAUCAGAAGGUAGAUUUAGCAUUUAUUUCAUCAUAUUCAUGUUAGCUAGUUAACACACUGCACCCAGCCUCAGUCUCCAUCUGCCUGAGGCUGCACCUUCUUACAUAAACCUCCCAGAGAGUUUACCUCCAAAAUAUAGCAAGCCUCUCGAAAGGAUAUCACCACAAAUUAAACUUGAGAACGUUCUAGAGGACAGGUCUCUCAAACCUUCCUUCCUCCCACAGCCACCUGCAAAGUGAGGCCAUCUGUGAGAGGAUGCACAGCAAGGCUAACUGAGGAAGAUGAUCUUAACAGGAGAGACUCUAAAGGAUGGGAAUGAACAUGUUUGCAGGUAUCGAGCCUAGAUAUCAAAUUUGGAAGUAGAAGGGACUCCAGUGUAGAGAGAAGAGCUCCAUUUUGAGAGACACCCUUUGGUAUGAAUGAAGGAGCCAUGAUGGGCCUCCAGAUGCCCCUGGACUUAUCAGCCCUGGCCAGCAUAGCCAAAUGCCAAGGAUGAUGGGAAAUGGAGUCCCAUUCUCAGCAUGACCAAUUGCCAAGUUGUAGUCCACAUACCCCAGGAAAACCACAGCUUCCCCAUUCCUGACAUAAGGAAAAGGAGGAAUAGAGGUUCCACUCUUGAAAGAUGUGGAGCAAGCCUUCUUUACUAAAUAAUAAUGAUGCAUGUAUUGUAGAUUACUUCCAAAUAUAAUCUGGGGUAAAGGUAAAAGUCCGCUGGAUGGUUAAGUCCAGUCAAAAGCAGUCGCGGUGGGGUGCGGUGCUCAUCUCGCUUCAGGAUGAGGGAGCUGGCAUUUGUCCACAGACAGAUUCCUGGGUCAUGUGGCCAGCAUGACUAAACUGCUUCUGGCGCAUGGAACACCAUGACGGAAGCCAGAGCGCAUGGAAAUGCUGUUUACCUUCCCGCUGCAGCAGUACCUGUUUAGCUACUUGCACUGCUGUGCUUUCGAACUGCUAGGUUGGCAGGCGCUGGGACAGAGCAACGGGAGCUCACUCCAUUGUGGGGAUUCGAACUGCUGACAUUCUGAUCAGCAAGCCCAAGAAGCUCAGUGGUUUAGACCACAGCGCCACCCGCAUCCUAAUCUGGGGUACACUACUUAGAGAUUUUUUAAAGUAUUAAGCAGUUCAUUUAAAUGCUUUUCAAUAAAUUGAAUAAAUACAUUACCAACAAUUCCCUCCUUUUAUUUCACUACUUAAACCUCACCUUUCAUGCCUUGAAAAUAACCACCAUAAACGUUAAGGAACCUUUGCAUCACAAAAGAAACUUUAUGUCACCUUCAUGCAUAUUUAAAAUACCACUUAAAAAAACCGGUUUUUGAACCUCUUUCUAGUUCCUCUGCAAAUAAAUGACCGAUAUGAAAUUCCUUACUGCAGCUUUGAUGAAAAGCCAACCCAAAAGGAGGCCAGAAGCUGAUAGUCAGGGGCAUUGGUGAGGCAAGAUAAGUACAAAUGCCGGUGUUUAUCACUGUCAUCCUGUUUACCACAUGGAAGUUGGAGGAAUUCUAUUAAACAGAACAAAAUGUUGCUGACCAGUUGUGCUGCUCAAAUAAACUGCUUUUAUUUGAGCGCAAAGACUCCCCAGAGCAGGGAGGCUGUUUUCAGGACAGUUGCAAUUCAUUAGUCUGAAGGGUGCAAUAAAAUAAACAGAAUGCUAUUACCAAAAUAUUAAGCUGGCAUUGACAAUGUCCCCCACUUCUACAGGGCAACAUUCUGCCUUCUUCGCUGAAUAUAUAAAGACUGCAACAGAUUCAAUGGAGCAGAGAGUAUGGACCAGCUUCAGAAGCCCAUAGGAUGAAUGCUGAACGAACCACUGUGAUGGCUACUAACCCUUAUGGCUUCAGUCUUCCUCUGUGCUGGUUGCUGGGAACAAUAACAGCGGAGAUGAUGCUGAGCUCAGGGUGCUGCUUGUGGAUCUCACUGGCCUCUGGCCGGCCACUGCGGAAAAAGGAUGCUGGACUAGAUGGGCCACUGGCCUGAUCCAGCAGGUCUAUCCUUAUGUGAGUGCACACAUUAUGGUUUCUGUAUGUAUAGUCCCCACACAGAGGAGGCAGUUCAUAUAAAUGGCCAUAAGGUCAGAAUCUGUUUGGACAGUUCCCAAGUGAUGGGAGACACAUCACACCAAUUAUUGCUGUGGACCCCUGUUCAAAGGAUGUUUGAGGAGCUCAUGUUUUGCAAAUUCCACUAGAAGCUGUCCUGACCCACAUCUCCUGGCCUAAUGCAUGGAUAAGAAUUCAGUCAUCCAUUAGGUUUUGCUCUUCUCGGGCCAUUUCUGUUUUCAGCCGAAAGAGGCAGCAACAAGCAUUUCAAAAUCAACAUUUUGAGAUGAAAUCCUUUAAAAUGUUUAUCUUGAAGAACAAAUGUUUCCAUUUAGAUCUGAAUUUUUUCUUUGGGGUCUUCAUAAAAAGCUAAAAAAAUAAUGUGAAAACUGGAGGGAACAAACCUAUGAGUGCGCACGUGUAAAAGUGGCAUAGCUUAGGAAGAGACUGCUUUGUCCAUGCCUACCCUGCCACCUUCAUAUUUUCCUGGGGUGAGGAAUCUGUGGCUACAGGUCCUAUCGGUUCUGACCAUUGGCCACGCUGUUGCAAGUUGAAGUCCAACAUCUGGAGGGCCAGAGAUUCCUCACUCCUGAUAUAUAUCGGAAGGGUGUGAAGACAAUAGAUUUAGCAUGGGGAGAGAAAGAUGCUUGCCAGACCUGAGAGAAGAAAAAAACUAAAUUCCAGCAACACAUUCUAUUUCAGGGGUGGAAAAUUGGUGACUGACACCUUCCCUGUCCUGGCCCUUUGGCUAUUUUUGCUGGUACUGAUAGGACAAACAAGACCUGGGACUCGGAUAUAAGCUGCAAAUAAUACAUUUUAAAUGUGUUGUAAAGUGCAAGAUACAUAUAUGACACUAGUUGGCGACAGUCAGCUAUGCCAAAUUCAAUGUAUUUUUCAAAACGUUUUUUAAAAAAGAUUUUCACAGCAUUUUUUAUAUGUGCGUAGGUUCCACUCUGGAGAGCCACAGGUUUCCUACCCAUGUCCAACAUACAGCAGUAUUUGUUCUUCUGAAAAACCAUUGAAGUCUAGAAUGCAAUUAUCUAAAUAAUUAAAAGCAUCAAUAAUUAUCCUGAUUGCCCCCGCACUUCAACAAAUGUCCAUCAAGUAUACUUGUUGUGUUCAUGCACUACAAAGGCUUAUUGCAAACCGUAAGAUUUAUAGUUUGACCAGGCUGUUAACACUAUUGCAAAUCAAAUUUUGCCUCCUGUGUCGUAAAGGGGAAAUGCCGCAUGAUAAGUUUCUGAACAAAG